GAUGAACGCUGGCGGCGUGCUUAACACAUGCAAGUCGAACGGAAAGGCCAGUGCUUGCACUGGUACUCGAGUGGCGAACGGGUGAGUAACACGUGGGUGAUCUGCCCUGUACUUCGGGAUAAGCUUGGGAAACUGGGUCUAAUACCGGAUAGGACAACUUUUUGGAUAUUGUUGUGGAAAGCUUUUGCGGUAUGGGAUGAGCUCGCGGCCUAUCAGCUUGUUGGUGGGGUAAUGGCCUACCAAGGCGUCGACGGGUAGCCGGCCUGAGAGGGUGUACGGCCACAUUGGGACUGGGCUACGGCCCAGACUCCUACGGGGGGCAGCAGUGGGGAAUAUUGCACAAUGGGCGCAAGCCUGAUGCAGCGACGCCGCGUGGGGGAUGAAGGCCUUCGGGUUGUAAACUCCUUUCGCUAGGGACGAAGCUUUUUUGUGACGGUACCUGGAGAAGAAGCACCGGCUAACUACGUG
rnacentral:rRNA from 1 species